rnacentral:lncRNA from 1 species
CGGCACGGCCGCACGACGCCUUUUCUUUCUUCGACGGUGACGCCGUGAUGGACUGACGGUGCGCGGUGAGUCUGGGUUUCUCUAAUUCUCUUAAUUUCUACUUCUGGGUCUUCACUCUUCAAUCGAUUUAUGGCUUCCUCUUAAUUUCUGCUUUUGGGUAUUCAAUUUUCAGUCUUCAAGUCUGGGUUUGACUCGAACUCUAUUAGGUGAAGCAGCUUCGAUUUCAGUUUUUGACUCGAUUUCGGAAACUUCA